GGGGUGGGUUAUGUCCUGUGAUGCUGGUAAUGGAAGCAGCUGGGUGUCCUCCUCCUUGUGUAUACCCUGGGAGAUGCAUCAGCCAAUCAGCUUGUUUCCAACGCACCAGCUGUUUCUCACUGGGAAAAAACUUACUCAACUUCAACUUUGAUGAACUUGCGUUAGUGAAGUUUCUUAAAGGAGCCGGGUUGUUUCGCGUUCCACAGUGUGUGGGGGAUGUAUGGGGCCUGCAGUGUAACGCUGGAAUGGGGCUUUACUAACUGCGCUGCUGGCCAGGAAGGCCUGACGGCAAAUUUCCUCAGUAAAAAGACAACAUCAGCAAAAAGUUUUUGGGAGAGAAGAUGAAGAGGUUAUCUAAAAAAUUCUAUGUAAAGGUGUUUGCAAGAAACAUUUUCUGGAAGUGAGCGAUGGACAGAACUAGGACACUGAAUAUGAAUUUGGAAGGGGGAAAGUGUAAAGGUUGUGUUGCAAAGGUAAUAUUUACACCCCGGGAAGAUGAAGCUCUGGAGACAAUCUGGCUCUGUCGUUGAUGCUGAAAGUUUGCAGGUGCCAGUGUUCACCAAUAAAUAAUCCACUUCUUCCUAGGACAACAAAUGCAGGCAAGUUUGGUGUGAGAAGUAUUUUGUGGCCCCAAAGCACUAAUGCACUUAGAUGUUGGGCCUUGUAAAGUAAUUGCUGCCUACCUGCAUGAUAAUGAAAAGAUUUGCUACUUGCUGACUGCAUAUUAACCUCCUGCCUGAUUCCACUUGUGAACUUUGCUGCCUACCUCUGACCUUCAGCCUGUACCUUCAGCCUGUUUUCAUGUGUGGCAACUUCCAGCUACUUCCGGAAAACAAUGUGCCACAUAUGUUUUUCCACCAGUGAUUUACGUUAUUGCGAGUGGGAAAAGAAUUUGCAAGAGAUUAUUUACCUGCAGUAGCAAAGAUUUGGAGGCCCCAAUAUACAUAACUUUGUAAUGGCUGCCCUUCAGAAGGUAUCUGGGUAUCAGAAGAUUCUCACCACAUUUAAUGUUUGUUCACAUUUUUAAUGUUAAUUUUCUUAAAAAAAGACCUAUUUAGAAAGAACUGAGCCUAAAACUUGGUGGGGAAAAAUGUUUUUGCAAACAAAUAGCUGUAGUGAAACUGAUUAUAUUGGGCAUACUACCUCCCAUGUCCCUCCUCACAGCAAUAGGGUGUGCUUCCCUUAUUGUUAUGCCCCUGGUGAUGCAACUGUCUGAGAGGAUAUGCACCAACAGAUUUGGAUCCAAACUACCAAAAGAAGGUUUUCCUUGGAGAGAGAUAAUCCAGUUAAAUUAGUGUAUUGCUUGAGUGAAAAUUGCUCCUGCAUAGACUCACACACAUUUUUUUAAAAAUGUCCCUUAUUGCUUAUUAAAACUGUUAUUUUAAUGUAUAUGCCCAUUCAAUAUUCCAUACUGUAGGACUUGAUAAACUAUUAAUGACAUCAGUAAAGCUACAUUAUUCCUCAUUAAACAGCCAUCUUUUUAGUUCAAGUUUACAGUGAUUAGUUUCUACAAAUAAAGCUACAGCCCCAUUUUCCUAAGCCAUCAAAUCAACGGUUCAUGUUUUAUUCCACAUUAAAGUGCUCUUUCACUUCCAGCCCUCACCUAACAUCCCCAAGCCACAUCCUUAUACUGCAUGCUCCAAUGCACCUGUCACUGUCUGUACAUGUUAAGAGAAUGGGUGCUUAGACCCA